rnacentral:sRNA from 1 species
UGCAUCUGCAGCCCAUGAGGAUGAGAACCUCCGGGGGCAGGGAGGUUCGACUCGAGCGAAGCGAGAGAACGUUGCGCCAGCAACGGCCCGCAGGGCG